rnacentral:rRNA from 1 species
UUGAACGCUGGCGGCAUGCUUUACACAUGCAAGUCGAACGGUAACAGGGAGCUUGCUCCGCUGACGAGUGGCGAACGGGUGAGUAAUGCAUCGGAACGUACCCAGUCGUGGGGGAUAACUACGCGAAAGCGUAGCUAAUACCGCAUACGCCCUGAGGGGGAAAGCGGGGGACCUUCGGGCCUCGCGCGAUUGGAGCGGCUGAUGUCGGAUUAGCUAGUUGGUGGGGUAAAGGCCUACCAAGGCGACGAUCCGUAGCUGGUCUGAGAGGAUGAUCAGCCACACUGGGACUGAGACACGGCCCAGACUCCUACGGGAGGCAGCAGUGGGGAAUUUUGGACAAUGGGCGCAAGCCUGAUCCAGCCAUGCCGCGUGAGUGAAGAAGGCCUUCGGGUUGUAAACUGCUUUUGUACGGAACGAAAAAGUCUUCUCUAAUACAGGGGGCGAAUGACGGUACCGUAAGAAUAAGCACCGGCUAACUACGU